UACGAAGGGGGCUAGCGUUGUUCGGAAUUACUGGGCGUAAAGCGCACGUAGGCGGAUAUUUAAGUCAGGGGUGAAAUCCCAGAGCUCAACUCUGGAACUGCCUUUGAUACUGGGUAUCUUGAGUAUGGAAGAGGUAAAUGGAAUUGCGAGUGUAGAGGUGAAAUUCGUAGAUAUUCGCAGGAACACCAGUGGCGAAGGCGGCUUACUGGUCCAUAACUGACGCUGAGGUGCGAAAGCGUGGGGAGCAAACAGG
rnacentral:rRNA from 1 species